rnacentral:lncRNA from 1 species
AAUGACUGAUUCUCUUGAAAAUUUACCUUAAUGGAACUCUGUGCAUUUCAGUUUAGAAUGACUUUGAAAAAUUCUUUAACUUUUAGGAUUUCUUAUUCCACCCAAGAUGAAAAGCUUUGGUAAAUAGAAUGAAAAGUUUUAGUUAAACGAAAAUUUAUUUAGUGAGACACAUAGAAGGAAAAUGUGUGCCAUAUACUAUGGUGUUAUGUUCAGUAGGAAAACUACAAAUAGAGUAUAUUUCAACCUGUAAUC